CAACAAAUAGUUUAUAUAAAAUAUAAUUUUUGGGUAAUUAAGAUAGUUUUCUUUUGUUGA
rnacentral:tRNA from 1 species